AAAACUAGCCAGUUUUUUGGGUAUGAAACCCAUUUGGGCGAGAGUAGUACUAGGAUGGGUGACCUCCUGGGAAGUCCUCGUGAAAGGGUUUC
rfam:Triticum aestivum genome assembly, contig: Triticum_aestivum_CS42_TGACv1_scaffold_032529_1BL